rnacentral:rRNA from 1 species
GUGUGUUCCAGGUAAAUCCGGUUCACUUUAACACUGAGGCGUGAUGACGAGGCACUACGGUGCUGAAGCAACAAAUGCCCUGCUUCCAGGAAAAGCCUCUAAGCAUCAGGUAACAUCAAAUCGUACCCCAAACCGACACAGGUGGUCAGGUAGAGAAUACCAAGGCGCUUGAGAGAACUCGGGUGAAGGAACUAGGCAAAAUGGUGCCGUAACUUCGGGAGAAGGCACGCUGACAUGUAGGUGAAGUGAUUUACUCAUGGAGCUGAAGUCAGUCGAAGAUACCAGCUGGCUGCAACUGUUUAUUAAAAACACAGCACUGUGCAAACACGAAAGUGGACGUAUACGGUGUGACGCCUGCCCGGUGCCGGAAGGUUAAUUGAUGGGGUCAGCGCAAGCGAAGCUCCUGAUCGAAGCCCCGGUAAACGGCGGCCGUAACUAUAACGGUCCUAAGGUAGCGAAAUUCCUUGUCGGGUAAGUUCCGACCUGCACGAAUGGCGUAAUGAUGGCCAGGCUGUCUCCACCCGAGACUCAGUGAAAUUGAACUCGCUGUGAAGAUGCAGUGUACCCGCGGCAAGACGGAAAGACCCCGUGAACCUUUACUAUAGCUUGACACUGAACAUUGAGCCUUGAUGUGUAGGAUAGGUGGGAGGCUUUGAAGCGUGGACGCCAGUCUGCGUGGAGCCGACCUUGAAAUACCACCCUUUAAUGUUUGAUGUUCUAACGUGGAUCCGUAAUCCGGGUUGCGGACAGUGUCUGGUGGGUAGUUUGACUGGGGCGGUCUCCUCCUAAAGAGUAACGGAGGAGCACGAAGGUUGGCUAAUCCUGGUCGGACAUCAGGAGGUUAGUGCAAUGGCAUAAGCCAGCUUGACUGCGAGCGUGACGGCGCGAGCAGGUGCGAAAGCAGGUCAUAGUGAUCCGGUGGUUCUGAAUGGAAGGGCCAUCGCUCAACGGAUAAAAGGUACUCCGGGGAUAACAGGCUGAUACCGCCCAAGAGUUCAUAUCGACGGCGGUGUUUGGCACCUCGAUGUCGGCUCAUCACAUCCUGGGGCUGAAGUAGGUCCCAAGGGUAUGGCUGUUCGCCAUUUAAAGUGGUACGCGAGCUGGGUUUAGAACGUCGUGAGACAGUUCGGUCCCUAUCUGCCGUGGGCGCUGGAGAACUGAGGGGGGCUGCUCCUAGUACGAGAGGACCGGAGUGGACGCAUCACUGGUGUUCGGGUUGUCAUGCCAAUGGCACUGCCCGGUAGCUAAAUGCGGAAGAGAUAAGUGCUGAAAGCAUCUAAGCACGAAACUUGCCCCGA